rnacentral:rRNA from 1 species
AUUGAACGCUGGCGGCAGGCCUAACACAUGCAAGUCGAACGGUAACAGGAAGCAGCUUGCUGCUUCGCUGACGAGUGGCGGACGGGUGAGUAAUGUCUGGGAAGCUGCCUGAUGGAGGGGGAUAACUACUGGAAACGGUAGCUAAUACCGCAUAAUGUCGCAAGACCAAAGAGGGGGACCUUCGGGCCUCUUGCCAUCUGAUGUGCCCAGAUGGGAUUAGCUUGUUGGUGGGGUAACGGCUCACCAAGGCGACGAUCCCUAGCUGGUCUGAGAGGAUGACCAGCCACACUGGAACUGAGACACGGUCCAGACUCCUACGGGAGGCAGCAGUGGGGAAUAUUGAACAAUGGGCGCAAGCCUGAUGCAGCCAUGCCGCGUGUAUGAAGAAGGCCUUCGGGUUGUAAAGUACUUUCAGCGGGGAGGAAGGGAGUAAAGUUAAUACCUUUGCUCAUUGACGUUACCCGCAGAAGAAGCACCGGCUAACUCCGUG